UCGCACCUACCGAUUGAAUGAUUCGGUGAAAAUUCUGGACCGUGGCUCGGACGCCUUCGGGCGACCUUGCUGUGGGAAGUUAUUUAAACCUCAUCAUUUAGAGGAAGGUGAAGUCGUAACAAGGUUUCCGUAGGUGAACCUGCGGAAGGAUCAUUACCACACCUCAAAAGA
rnacentral:rRNA from 1 species